rnacentral:rRNA from 1 species
UCGCCUACGGGGGGCUGCAGUGGGGAAUAUUGGACAAUGGGCGCAAGCCUGAUCCAGCCAUACCGCGUGAGUGAAGAAGGCCCUCGGGUUGUAAAGCUCUUUUGUUGGGAAAGAAAUCCAGCCGGUUAAUACCUGGCUGGGAUGACGGUACCCAAAGAAUAAGCACCGGCUAACUUCGUGCCAGCAGCCGCGGUAAUACGAAGGGUGCAAGCGUUACUCGGAAUUACUGGGCGUAAAGCGUGCGUAGGUGGUUGUUUAAGUCUGUCGUGAAAGCCCUGGGCUCAACCUGGGAAUUGCGAUGGAUACUGGGCGACUAGAGUGUGGUAGAGGGUGGCGGAAUUCCCGGUGUAGCAGUGAAAUGCGUAGAGAUCGGGAGGAACAUCCGUGGCGAAGGCGGCCACCUGGGCCAACACUGACACUGAGGCACGAAAGCGUGGGGAGCAAACAGGAUUAGAUACCCUUGUAGUCUCA